rnacentral:lncRNA from 1 species
UAUACAACACCAAAAAGCCAAACACUUUAAAUGUUUACAAUGUAAUAGAAAACUAGACAUAGCUAGUGGGUUAGUAGUGCACAUGAUGCAAGUACACAAAACAAAUCUAAAAGCAGUACCUAAUUCAUUACCAAAACGAAACGACCCUGAGCUGAUUAUAAGAGGAAUGAAUGGUGUACCAACUGAGAUAAUUGAAGAUAAUUUAAAUAAAUUAAAACAAAAAUUAGGUGAUAAAAAUAUUAAAAGACAACAGAGAGUUAAUUGGGCACAAGUCAAUAUGGCACCAACAAUGGAAGAAUUUUUACAGCAAGCUCAAAUUGGUAAUUUUAGUUUCCCAGGAUUCAACGCACCUAUUAUUCCAACAAAUAAUACACAAUCACCUAAUUCAAUAUCAACUAAUAAUAUUAAUUUAAAUAAAAUAAACAUGGCACCCAUACCUAUGUAUAAAUCUAAUAAUACCAAUAUAGGUUUUAUUCAACCACCACCAAUAGGUCCUAAUAUAUAUCAUCCUAUGAAUCAACACAACACUAAACUUCCAACGAUUCCACCUAUGCAUUUACCAUCUACAAAUAUCCCUGUCCAUAAUAUGCCAGUUAUACCUACAAACGUACAAACAACAAACACACCCACUAUGAAUAUACCUACAUAUAUAGCACCAAAUAUUUCAACAACAUCUUAUGCUUCAAACGUACAACAGAUCCAUCCAGCACAUAAUACGUUUCCAAAAUAUACACCACCAAUAAAUUUUGCAAAAAAUAAUUAUUUUCCACAAAAUUUAUCAACUAAUAUGUUUCAUCCUCCCAACUCUCUGUAUACUCCACCACCAGUGCCAUCUGUAGGCCCACAAAAUAUAACACCACCAUCUGCACCUACCACUAAAAUACCACCCUUAGCUCCACCCAUGUUACCUCCUUCUGCUUUUUCUCCUAAUGAUAAUCAUUCUAAUUCUAAUUUAUCAUCUAAUUUAAAUAACAGUGCGGAUAAAACGUUAGGUUCAAAUACACAAAAUGAUACACUCGAAUCAAUUAAUACUAACAUGAAAAGUGAAAACAAUAAUACUAAUAGUAAUUUGAAUAAAAAAGUGUUAUCAUGAAAAAUAAAGGAAAUGAUGAAACAAAAAAAAAAAAACA